GGGUCAGUAGGUUGGUCGUGCCACCGGUACGUACUGGUCUCACUGAUUCCUCCUUCCUGAAGAACCGUAAUGCCAUUAAUUUGGUGUUGCGGGGAAACAGGACUGUUACUUUGAAAAAAUUAGAGUGUUUAAAGCAAGCUAACGCUUGAAUACAUUAGCAUGGAAUAAUGAAAUAGGACGAUCGGUCCUAUUUUGUUGGCUUCUAGGAUUGACGUA
rnacentral:rRNA from 1 species